GCUGAGUUGCGUAGCAGCUGUCAAGGCCCUCGACGUGCUUCCUGUUGACGCAGCGUCACAAGCAAGCGGUGGUCCACAAUGGCCGAGGAUGGAACCCUCCAGCCACCUGUGGGUCGGGAGACGACCACUGUAUACAAAUGGAUAGUUACGAGCCCGGUCUUUGUUUUUGCGUCGACGGAUGAUGAUGAGGACGGACGGGAUUAUGCGAAGCAUUCUCGCCUUCUUCCUAAUUGGACCAUCUUUUGAUGAGUGGACGCUCGUUAAUUGUCCAUUUCUUUUGGAGUAUCAUUGCGCUCUUUGAUUGCCUCACCAAAUUAGAUUUUAACCGAAUGUGUGUGUGCGGGUGUGUUGUUUUAUUGUAACCUCAGCAAAUGAAAGGGGUUGGUUGGAGGCACAAAAGUAAAUUUGCAUUUUGAUUUGAAAACAAACAAACGUCUGCUCAACUUUGCUUUUGGGUUACUUCAGA